UACGUAGGGUGCGAGCGUUGUCCGGAAUUAUUGGGCGUAAAGAGCUCGUAGGCGGUGUGUCGCGUCGGCCGUGAAAACCUGGGGCUUAACUCUGGGCGUGCGGUCGAUACGGGCAUCACUAGAGUUCGGCAGGGGAGACUGGAAUUCCUGGUGUAGCGGUGAAAUGCGCAGAUAUCAGGAGGAACACCGGUGGCGAAGGCGGGUCUCUGGGCCGAUACUGACGCUGAGGAGCGAAAGCGUGGGUAGCGAACAGG
rnacentral:rRNA from 1 species